AGUUCUUUGAAUGUUUGGUAAAAUUCACAUGUGAAGCCAUCUGAUCCAGGACUUUUGUUUGUUGGAAGUUUUUUGAUUACUGCUUCAAUUUCACUAGUUGUAAUCUGUCCAUUCAUAUUCUCUGAUUCACCCUGAUUUAAUUUUGGAAGAUUAUAUGUUUCUAGAAAUUUGCCCAUUUUGCUCAGGUUGUCCAAUUUCGUGGCAUAUA